CUCAAUCUGUCACGGCUCUCUGCUCUUCUGUCGGAGUUUCUAACUUACCUUGGUCGUGGCGGGCAGCUGCCUGGUCACCCUCCAUUCUGGUCCCCAGUGGGUGCGUGACGUUCUUAGAAACGCUGGCUGCUGUGGUUCAGGAUUUUAUAAUAAACUUACCUUCGCCCACAUUAAAGAUGCCGCCAAUGUGCGUGCGACGUCACGUCAUAGAUGUGCACGCACUUUUUGGGGUCAGAGGUCCGAGACAGCCAAUUACAGCCUAAAGAGGGUUAUUUAAACCCUAAAUUACCUUUUUGCCAGUGUCCUGUCGUAUUUUCCACUAGCUGGUUAUCCAAGAGUGUGUUCCUGAUUGUGUUUAUUCUGGUAUUUGACUUUGGCUUUGUUUUGACUUCCUUGAUUUCUGGUAUUCUUGACUUCUGACUUUCCUCAUCGUUGCAUCUCAUUCUGUGCCCCUGACCUCGGCAAGUAUUUUGACUAUUCUCUGGUACAUUAUUUCCGGCCAUUCUAAGGUCCGGUUAGACGUUAUCCUUAGUCUUUAGGUGUGAUACAAUUCUGCGUGCUGGAUCAACUAUAAUCCUGACACAACCAUCUCCCACUGGAGUCUGUCACUACUAUUGAUAACAAAAAAGGUAGCAGUAUAUGAAUAUGUUGUUAUAAAACACAGUUUGAAUAAAGGUAUCAAACUGACAUUAGCAAUAUAAUUUUCAUAAUAUUACUUUCUAAGUAAUGUAUCAUAAAUCUAUCUAAUUCUGGCAUUUUGUGGACAUAUGCUAAUGCAAGUAGACCUUUCUUGAGAAUUUUGCAACCAAACUUCAGAAAAUUGCAUAAACAUUGGGACUGCAACAGCUACACAUUAUGUGUAUCCUCUAUAUUUUUAAGAGUCAUUUCCUUGGCAUCAAUGUCUUGUCAGUUUCUUGACAUUAAUUGAUCUUAUUGGUACUCAUUAGAUUGUUAUCCUUGGUCAUAUGUUGUGUUCCAGGUGUUGAAGUUGAAGAAAGUAAAAAUAUAAUAUAGAAAAAAAGCGAGUGACAUCACAAUCAAUCUGCAAAACAAGAAGGCAAAAAUUAUUUUU